ACAAGGAUGAUUUGGGAGUCUUGUUACAAUUCAGAUUCUAAUUCUGUACGUUUACCCUGGGGCCUAAGAUUUCAUAUCUAUUACAAGCUCCCAGGUGAUCCUAAG
rnacentral:pre_miRNA from 1 species